rnacentral:ncRNA from 1 species
CUACGGACUUAGAAAACUGAGCCUUGACAGAGAAAUUUGUCAAGUGACUGCUCUCAAAUUCAGGGAAACCUAAAGCACUAUCGUUGCUAUGGCAAUCCUGAGCCAAGCCGAACUUCGGAAGGUGCAGAGACUCGACGGGAGCUACCCUAACGCAUUCAGGCGAGGGUAAAGGGAGAGUCCAAUUCUCAAAG